UACGUAGGGUGCGAGCGUUAAUCGGAAUUACUGGGCGUAAAGCGUGCGCAGGCGGCGCGUUAAGACAGGUGUGAAAGCCCCGAGCUUAACUUGGGAAUUGCGCUUGUGACUGGCGUGCUGGAGUGUGGCAGAGGGAGGUGGAAUUCCACGUGUAGCAGUGAAAUGCGUAGAUAUCUGGAGGAACACCGGUGGCGAAGGCGGCGUUCUGGACUGCAACUGACACUGAUGAACGAAAGCCAGGGGAGCAAACGGG
rnacentral:rRNA from 1 species